rnacentral:ncRNA from 1 species
CUCUAGUCCGACUUUGUGAGGAGACAUGAUGGAUGUAGUAUAGGUGGUGGAUGUAGUAUAGGUGGGAGCUGGGUGCUUCGGUGUCCAGCGUAGAUGAAAUACCACUGCUAUCAUUGUUUCUUUACUUAUUCAGUGUUUUGGUUCAAAGCACAUUUCGGCGUGCGUGGUCUAUCGCUGCGUGCUUCGAUAUCUUGGUCAUGUCAGAUGUUAUUAUUAUUAUUAUUAUUAUUUAAACACAUAAAUAAUGGUACAAAAAGCACCAGAUAAAUAUGCGCCUCACAAAUCUCAUUUGAUUUGUGUGAGGGCUGAGAUACUGCCCAGAUGCCCAGACAGAAGCAGGUGGUGAG